UUUUUUUAAUACCACUUCUUCAAAAUAGAUUCACCCAGGCCAUGGUACUUUGUAGAAGAGCCACACUCAAGGGGCCAAAGAGCUUCAUGUGGCUCGAGAGCCACAGCUUGCUGACCAUGGACUUAGAUUACGGUGACAAGAUGUCCCU